UACAGGGAACAUGUAGGUGGUGGUCUGUU
rnacentral:piRNA from 1 species